rnacentral:lncRNA from 1 species
NNNNNNNNNNNNNNNNNNNNNNNNNNGAGAUUUAGGUCUCCCAGGCAGCGCAGUGAAUUUUAUGGUUGGGUCAGACUGUGUAGGUGAGUGCCACAUUUCCAUGAUUCAGCAGUUUCCAUGAGGUUCUGACUAGUUUGCAACGGUGUCUGAAAUUCUUACCAACAGAAUUAUUCAUUUGGGCUGAAGUAUGUGUGGGGGGAAAAAGAAGUGCAUUUGAGACAGGAGAGCAGAGCAGCCCUCAGUAAUUUAUUCAAUCAGCCGGCUCUGGAGAGCAGAGACAAGGUCUGAGAACAUGUGAGAACUGGGCUUUGUGGCAGGAAGUAGGAACGAAGCAGGGUGCAGAAAGACAAAGCCACAUACAGCCAGCAGAAGGGCACUUGGGCACCCAAUGGACAGGAUCCAGUUCUGGGUGCUGAAGAGAAGGUUUUCUGGCCAUAUCUCAGACACCCUGGCUUUCACAGGAUCCACAGAGAAAAAAUGCUGAAACACAACAGUCGUCAAGAAGUAUUGGAUUUCCUCUGCUCUGAAU